rfam:Bombyx mori DNA, contig: Bm_scaf32_contig19789, strain: p50T/Dazao, build 2, whole genome shotgun sequence.
UUAACACAAUUUUGUAUGGAAUUGGAACGUGUGCCUACGUUUCCGCUAGGGGCGCUGUUCCGAUUGCAUACAAAUUUGAGUUA